AUUUUACUGGCUCAUAAGCAUGAUGACUAGGCGUCCACAUGCUUCCGUGACAUGUGCCUCCCACAAAACUUUAUGCAAUAUCAGCAUAUUACCAGCCUAACA